rnacentral:misc_RNA from 1 species
CUUUCUCAGUUAUUCACUUUGUGUGAUGACUGGUAUUGAGUGGUACUCUUUGCAGGGUUAACUUGAAAUAAGCGUAGCGCGAGCGGUGACGGCCGAUCUUGCCGAGAUAAUGUAUUAGGUUCUGCCAACUCGUUAGCUCAGUCAGAAAAGCAGUCGCCAGCAACUCCGCUGUCCUUUCACAAA